CGGCUCUCGCGCGACUGGCGACUUUGGAUGGAGCACCAUCGGGAAGCGCGAGGGUAAUCGCCGCGCGCCUGGGCAUAAGCA
rnacentral:ncRNA from 1 species